AUUUUUUGGCUUCUGGCUCACAGACAUGAUGAUGUUUUUGAAGUUAAAAAAAAAGUUUACUUUGUGUGGAUCUACACACAAUUUUUUUCUUGUUGAAAAAACUUAAAUUAUAUGUAUAUUUAGAAUUUCUGUGAGACCUCCCCACGUAUUGAGUAUGAAGGUCUAUUUUCUGGUCUAUUUGCAUACAUAGGAUGCACCAGAUUAUAAGGCGCAUAGUAAAAAUGAAUACUGAAAGUGAACAAGGAUGUCACCAUGUUUACUUUUUAAUUCAGCAGGUCUCGCUGCUGGGGGCACCUAAGUAAAUAAAACUUUUGUUCUUAAACAAAACCUUUUCAUUCCAAGUUAAACAAGUGCUGGAUAUUAAUCUACACAGAUUUCUCUGUUGAAAACUUUAUUUAUAUUAUUUGGUGAUGGAAAAUAGAAUGUACGUCAUUACCUCCCCUGUCUCUCUGUUGCACUGGACGUGACUUUAGUUUCUGUGGUAGUGUAUUGGACAGCGACCCUGAUGACACGGGUUCGAUCCUGCGUGAGGAGCGGAACUGUAUCUCCUGUCUGUGGAUUGACAUGUCUAUGCUCCAUCCAAAAUCUCUGCUCUUGUGUGGCUCCUGCUGUGACCUCUGAAGAAAGUUCAAAGUUUUCAGAUGCUGUUGAGCAAAACGUAUGAUUUAAGAAAAAUGCUGUCAGUGUGCAUUAUUAACCUUGAAUGUUUAUGUAAUAAGUCAAUUAUGGUCCAGCAAUUUUAUAGAACAGGAAAAAUCUCAUCUCGAAGAUCUCAAUCAUUUUGAGUAUGACCUUUGCAUGACCUUUUAUGACCCUAGAGUAUUGUACUUGAAUCUGGUCUCACUCUCAAAAUUGUUCUUGAGACCAUAAAACCAGUGGUCUCAUAUUAGUGGUGUCAAUACAAGUAUAUACUUGUAUGGUUGAGGGGAGAUAAAACAAGUGAUUGGCACUGGAAUAAAGAAUGCAGGAUAAAUUGGAUAGAGGAUUUA
rnacentral:lncRNA from 1 species